CACAAAGUUCCGUCCGGUCAGUCGGGGUCGAUGACUGGUAAACCUUCUCUGCCUGGCAGACGGAGAAUGUCCUCGACAGUUUACUGCGAGUAAGGAGCACUCGGAGGCACCAUCAAAUCGGGAUGAACAUCGGCGGGCAUCGGAGGAGCCAUCGGAGGAGGCACAAGAGGAGGCAUCUUCGGAGGAGCCAUCGGAGGAGGCACAGGAGGAACCGAUGGGGCACUAGAAGAAGGCGACAAAGAGACUCUCUGAGAAUGCUGAGUC
rnacentral:lncRNA from 1 species